GCGAAUCGCCCUUCGGGGUGCACCAGGCGCGAAAACUUUGCAAUGCACGAAACUGUGACAGGGUCAUCCCGAGUGCCCACCGCUGAGGUUGGCUUUUACCCUUUCUAAAACGCUGGGGAAAUAACGAGAGGGCACCUCUGGUGUCCGCCGCCGCGGUACUACCAGCUCUCCUAGUGGUGUGUACGUUUGUUGUGCCUAAAGCUUCCGUAGCUGGGUGAACUCUUCCCCGUGAUUACACCCACCUAUUUAAUCGUUGGUCUGCGGGGGAUACUGCUCGGCUAGGGCACGAGAGAUGCAAGCGGUAUUCUGGGGGUAAGGGUGAAAUCCUAUACUCCCGGGAACACCACCUGUGGCGAAGGCUGCCUGCUAAAGCGCCCCCGACGGUGAGGGAUGAAAUCUGGGAGAGCAAACCAUAUUAUAUACCCGGGUACUCCCCUCUGUACAAUAUGCAUACUAUGU
rnacentral:rRNA from 1 species